AAGACCCAGCAUGGGUUUCUCAAAAACAAGUCAAACCAAAUUAAUCUCUUUUUUUCCUUUUUUUCUCUGCAGAGUUACAAGCUUGGUGAAUCAAGGGUAGGACUCGAACCGAUGGCUUCGUGUUACAAGAAUGGAGAUUCAAAACUAAAGAUCUGGAAGAUCUGGAAGAACUUUCUGACAGCAAGAGCUGCUCAACAAGUCUCCCUCGGGAGGUUGUGGACUCUCCUUUCUUGCAGGUUUUUGAGCAGAGUUUGGAUGGACAUCUGUCAUGGAUGCUUUUGUUGAGAUUCCUGCACUGGAGGGGAUUGGACAAAUUGGCCCCUGGGGUCCCUUCCAACUUUUAAAUUCCACGAUUCCCCGAAACGGCUUGUUGCGAGGUUUUGAAACAAUUUGUACGAGACAGCUGGGCGAAGUCAGCCAGAGGUGUUGGGGCUGACGUGUUGUCUCAGUUUCCAGAAGGCAUUUGGUUCUCGAAUCGCUUUGCCAUGGAGUAAUCCCAAGGAGGCUUACGAGAACUCUCCAACAGAGUCCUGGGAAUGGUUCUGGGGCAGAUGAGAGGGAUCUGUCAAUUUUGCUUUCUCUCACUUUUUCAUUAUCCCAUGCUUGAGUUUCCUUUGCCAGAUUUCCACAUCAAGUUUGUGUGUGUUUGUGUGUCUUAAACCAUCAUAAAAAAAAAUCAGUGUUUUAGCGUGGCUUUCUCUCUAUAUAUUGCAGUGUUGGGAAAACUUAUUGAAUAUUGUGGAGUUGGAAAAGGUUCAGAAAAUGAUCGAGGGGAUGAAGCAAAUCCUUUAUGAAGAAAGUUUGCAGUGUUUGGGACUUCUUAGUUUGAAGGAAAGGCAAGCAAAAGGUGACAUGAUAGACAUUUAUAAAAUUCUGCACUUCCACUUACAUGUUUUGCCAAACACUGCCUUGGGACGGUUUUGACCCUUAAAGGCAGUCUAUGCAUAUUUUAAUUACCGUAUUUUUCUGUCUGUAAGAUGCCCACAUGUAUAAGACGCCUCCUAUUUUGGGGGACUCUGAUUUAAGAAAAGGGGGAAUAUGUAUAAGAUGCCCCCAAAUUUUGGACAUUAUUUUUUAGGGAAAAAACCUAGUCUUUUACACGGAAAAAUACAGUAAUCAAUCAAAUAUUGUUGUAUAUACGCAGCCGUGUUUUUAUAUUGGUGAUCGGUUAUAUAUAAUCCAUGUUAUUACUGGGUUGCAAAAUCGCUUCUGGAUGCUUCGUAGCAAGAGAUUCAUAGCUCAGUUGGUAGAGCAUGAAAGGUUGUGGGUUCGAGUCCCAAGUUGGGCAAAAUAUUCCUGCAUUGCAAGGGACUGCAUUAGAUCCCAGUGGUCCCUCCCAGCCGUACAAUUCUAUGAUUCUCUGGUGUGAAUAAUGAGAAAAGAAGGGAAAACUUGUCCACUUUCUCCACGCUAGACAUAAUUGAUUUUUGUGAAGCUUACUCCUGUUUCCCUCUUACCGUAUUUUUCGCUCUAUAAGAUGCAAUUCCCCCCUCCUAAAAAGUAAGGGGAAAUGUGUGUGCGUCUUAUGGAGCUCCCGCUGCACUCCUGAGGCUUUGUGUUGCUUUCGCUGAAGCCAGGAGAGCAAGAGGGAUCGGUGCACACUGAUCCCUCUUGCUCUCCUGGCUUCACUUCGCUGGAGAGGCACUGCGCAACUUUCCCUCUCUGCGCAGCGCCCCUUCAGCGAAGUGGGAGGAGAAAUGGAAGGGGCUCCGUUUCUCCUGCCGCUUCGCUGAAGAAGCGCUGUGCAGAGAGGGAGAGAAUAUUUUUUCCCCUUGUUCUCCCCCUCUAAAACUAGGUGCGUCUUAUGGUCGGGUGCAUCUUAUAGAGCAAAAAUACAGUAGUUCUCCCCCCCCCCACCGCCCAAAAUUAAAAACUUCGCAAUGCUUUUGUUCAGCCUUUGGCAACCGGGUGCCCUCCAGAUGUUUGGACUAUAACUCCCGCCAGCCCCAGCUGGAAGGCGCCCAGUUGAUGAAGCGCACCCUUCUUGGGAAAGUGCUCCAUGUUCCCGCUAAACACAUGUUUUCCAAGCUCGAAAAUACCCUUUUUGAGAUGAAGUAACCAACACCAUGCACGAUCUUCCAAAUCUAGCCGUCACCAUAGAUUUAUGUAGGAUCAUUACGAUGCAAGUUGUUUUCAAUUUCCUUCCCUUUCCUCAUAAUUCCUAAUAAUUCCUAGGACAGAAUUGAUCUGCUCUCCCGCUGCAAAUAGAUGAAAGUUUUCCAUUUGAGUCAUUUUUGUCUUGCCAACCCAAUCAAGGCGCAUGCAUGUUGAUGUGCUUUAAUCUCUUUUACCGUAAAUCUCAGUUGUUUUCAUAUAUUUUUACCUGCUUUUUCUUGAUGGUCUUAAUACUUCUGGCAAGCUGCUUAGAGAUUGUUCUGCGCAAAUUUUACAAAAUAAAUAAAAACAAACUUCAUUCACCAUGACCCCAAGAUCUCUUUGCUGGAGAGUCGCUGCCAGUUGAGACCCCAUUAAAAAUAAUAAUUAUAAGUUGUGUGUCUUUGUUUUUCAAUUUAAACCUUUUACAUCAGUUUGUACGCAUUGUGGUAUUUUAUGUAUUGUUAAGAGUGAAUUUCUGUUUAAUUAUUAUUUGCUGAUGUUUUGAGAGUUAAUUUAAUUGUGUACUGUUAUAUUCUAAUAGAAUAUUGAAUAUUACUUUAUUUGAUAUGAGUUGUUCCAUUUUAAAGUUAUGCUUUAUUACGACUUUCUGUAUAGGAUCAGAUUAUUAUAAGGUGUGUGUUCUUUGUUUGUUGCUGCAAACUGCCUUGUGUAUAGUAAUAUAGAAAGGCGGUAUACAAAUCAAAAGUGGAUUGAAACUGAGUGAAAUAUCAAGUUACCUGAUACUGCCCACUCCGUUACAAAUUUGUUUGGCCUCUCCUGAAGCUGAGAGUUACCCUCUUAAGCCAUGUUUGCGCAAUAAAUUUUAAGCUCUUAUACCCGAC
rnacentral:lncRNA from 1 species